UGCAUUCACUACUGUAAGUUGCUCUGGAUAAGAGCGUCUCUGCUAAAUGACUAAAA
rfam:Salmo salar isolate Sally breed double haploid chromosome ssa06, whole genome shotgun sequence.